AUGACCAUGGCGGCUAGAAGAACCAGCAGGGAGGGGAACUGCGGCGGCGGCGGCGGGGUGAGGCAGUACAACCGGUCCAAGGUGCCGCGCCUCCGGUGGACGAGCGCCCUGCACCGCUGCUUCGUCCACGCCAUUCACAGCCUCGGAGGCCACGACAGGGCGACGCCGAAGCGGGUGCUGCAGGUGAUGGGGGUUGGAGGGCUCACCAUUUCUCAUGUCAAAAGCCAUCUGCAGAUGUACAGGAACAUGAGGAAUGAUCUUGGAAUGCAAGGGAUGCAGCAAGCAGGGCAACAGUCGGGCCAGGAGGAGCACACACGCGCAACAGGAGGAGGCACCGAAGUCUGCACCGACGAUGAUGAGGAGUGCCGUGUCCCCGGCUACGGCUCGCCAAAGCCUAGAAAGGAGUCGACGACGCUGCCGCUCCACCCGCAACUGAAAAGGAGGGCAGGGGCAUCUGAGACGGUGACAAGGGAGGAGGUGAGCGCGAGCCCCACGAGCCUGCUGAGAGUGAAAAGAGGACGAGGAAUAUGCGAGGGUAGGGACGGAGGAGGAUCCUAUGACGUUCGGCACGUUGCAGUUCUACCAUUGACAUGUGGGCCCGUUGGGAACUUGGCCCACAUGUCAGCGGCCCAAUGGCACACAGCGCACGGCAGAGGAGCCGCUUCCGGGAGGGACAUGGAGUCGUCCAGCCACGCACCGGCGGCAGCAGGUGGCCAAUACCACGUGCAUAUGGAUAUGAUGCAGGCGCAUGCCGUGCUUCAAGCGCCGCCCAUGGCCGCGGCUCGCUUGGUGGAGCCCCGCCCUUCGAUGCCGCUGGGAAUGAAGCAGAAGCAGAAGCAUCGGCGAGAGCCCUGGAUGCCUACAGCAAGGUUGCACCGCGGCGGCGAUGGCGAACUCGGCGCCGCCGCCUCCACGCUCAAAUUCUUGGGGUUCCUGGUGGCUCCGGGGCGUCAUCCUCCCCGUCCCCGUGCUGCCUGCUGCGAUGGCUACCCUAUUGAGGUCGGCACGCCUCCUAACCGCGCCGCCGCAUACACGGCCAGCCGCACCGACGGUGUCCGUCCGUGCAGACUCCAGCCGCCAGGCAACGUCGUCGACGCCGGAUUCACGAAUCUGACUCUGGCCGGUGAACGCGACGGUGGCUACUCGCUGUCGCUAGCGCUGGCCCUGUGCCCGGCCGGGGGCGGUGGCGCCAAGAGCAGCCUGCUCUCGUCGUCGACAGCGUCGUCGUCGUCGUCGUCAUCGGGGAGUCGGAUCAGCCUCGACCUGUCGCUGUCCACGCUCGACUCGUAG
rnacentral:rRNA from 1 species